CAGACAGAAUCUUAUCUCAAUGCGCAGACUGAAUUCAAACAACUACAGGUGGGUAGCUGGUGAUGGAAUCUUGAAGGUUAUAUGCGAUGAUAUGAUUAUUCUAGAGGGAGAGAAAAGGAUGAGAGGACAUUACUACUUGAUAGAGAGCUUAGUGUGAGGUGGAGCUUCAGGAGUUAGGGGGAGCUCUGUGUGAGGUGGAGCUCCAGAUAGAGAUGAAUCAGGCACGAGAUGCGAGAUU
rnacentral:lncRNA from 1 species